rnacentral:rRNA from 1 species
AUUGAACGCUGGCGGCAUGCCUUACACAUGCAAGUCGAACGGUAGAGGGGCAACCCUCGAGAGUGGCGAACGGGUGAGUAAUGCAUCGGAACGUGCCCAGUCGUGGGGGAUAACGUAGCGAAAGCUACGCUAAUACCGCAUACGACCUGAGGGUGAACGCGGGGGACCUGCAGGGGCCUCGCGCGAUUGGAGCGGCCGAUGUCAGAUUAGGUAGUUGGUGGGGUAAAGGCCUACCAAGCCGACGAUCUGUAGCUGGUCUGAGAGGACGACCAGCCACACUGGGACUGAGACACGGCCCAGACUCCUACGGGAGGCAGCAGUGGGGAAUUUUGGACAAUGGGCGCAAGCCUGAUCCAGCCAUGCCGCGUGCGGGAAGAAGGCCUUCGGGUUGUAAACCGCUUUUGUCAGGGAAGAAAUCUUCUGGGUUAAUACCUCGGGAGGAUGACGGUACCUGAAGAAUAAGCACCGGCUAACUACGUGCCAGCAGCCGCCGUAA